UACGCAGGGUGCGAGCGUUGUCCGGAAUUAUUGGGCGUAAAGAGCUUGUAGGCGGUUUGUCGCGUCUGCCGUGAAAAUUCGAGGCUCAACCUCGAACUUGCGGUGGGUACGGGCAGACUAGAGUGUGGUAGGGGAGACUGGAAUUCCUGGUGUAGCGGUGAAAUGCGCAGAUAUCAGGAGGAACACCGAUGGCGAAGGCAGGUCUCUGGGCCACUACUGACGCUGAGAAGCGAAAGCAUGGGGAGCGAACAGG
rnacentral:rRNA from 1 species